GCAUCGGUGGUUUAGUGGUAAAAUUAGCCGUUGCCAUCCAUCUGUAGUCCAGAUCCGAAGACGUCGGCUAGCCCCGGGUUCGAUUCCCGGCCGAUGCA
rfam:Cochliobolus heterostrophus C5 unplaced genomic scaffold COCHEscaffold_7, whole genome shotgun sequence.